UUUCUGUAGGUGAACAUGCGGAAGGAUCAUUACAGAGUUCAUAAAAAAAAGGGUAGACCUCCCACCCUUGUGUAUUAUUACUUUGUUGCUUUGGCGAGCCGCCUUCGGGCCUAGUAUGCUCGCCAGAGAAUACCAAAACUCUUUUUAUUAAUGUCGUCUGAGUACUAUAUAAUAGUUAAAACUUUCAACAACGGAUCUCUUGGUUCUGGCAUCGAUGAAGAACGCAGCGAAAUGCGAUAAGUAAUGUGAAUUGCAGAAUUCAGUGAAUCAUCGAAUCUCUGAACGCACAUUGCGCCCCUUGGUAUUCCGGGGGGCAUGCCUGUUCGAGCGUCAUUUCAACCCAAAAGAUUAGCUUGGUAUUGAGUCUAUGUCAGUAAUAGCACGCUCAAAAAACAAAGGCGGAGCCGCUGGGUCCUGAACGUAGAAUUCAAGCCCUACAGGAGCUGGCGUGCAUCAGCCAAAACCCAAACACACUAUGGUGACCUCGGACCAGGUACGGACACAACCUGAACUUAAGCAUAUCAAUAAGCGGAGGAA
rnacentral:rRNA from 1 species